GGGUUGUGAGGUUAAGCGACUAAGCGUACACGGUGGAUGCCCUGGCAGUCAGAGGCGAUGAAGGACGUGCUAAUCUGCGAUAAGCGCCGGUAAGGUGAUAUGAACCGUUAUAACCGGCGAUUUCCGAAUGGGGAAACCCAGUGUGACUCGUCACACUAUCAUUAACUGAAUCCAUAGGUUAAUGAGGCGAACCGGGGGAACUGAAACAUCUAAGUACCCCGAGGAAAAGAAAUCAACCGAGAUUCCCCCAGUAGCGGCGAGCGAACGGGGAGGAGCCCAGAGCCUGAAUCAGCAUGUGUGUUAGUGGAAGCGUCUGGAAAGGCGCGCGAUACAGGGUGACAGCCCCGUACACAAAAGCGCAUGUGCUGUGAGCUCGAUGAGUAGGGCGGGACACGUGGUAUCCUGUCUGAAUAUGGGGGGACCAUCCUCCAAGGCUAAAUACUCCUGACUGACCGAUAGUGAACCAGUACCGUGAGGGAAAGGCGAAAAGAACCCCGGCGAGGGGAGUGAAAAAGAACCUGAAACCGUGUACGUACAAGCAGUGGGAGCCCCACCACUAAGCCAGUGGUGAACUCCACAUACGCAUCCUUUGCUGAUGGCAAUGGUUAACGGAGCGAAAGCGACGUUCAACCGCAAAACAAGCAGAGGGGGCUUAGUGGUGGGGUGACUGCGUACCUUUUGUAUAAUGGGUCAGCGACUUAUAUUCUGUAGCAAGGUUAACCGUAUAGGGGAGCCGCAGGGAAACCGAGUCUUAACCGGGCGUUAAGUUGCAGGGUAUAGACCCGAAACCCGGUGAUCUAGCCAUGGGCAGGUUGAAGGUUGGGUAACACUAACUGGAGGACCGAACCGACUAAUGUUGAAAAAUUAGCGGAUGACCUGUGGCUGGGGGUGAAAGGCCAAUCAAACCGGGAGAUAGCUGGUUCUCCCCGAAAGCUAUUUAGGUAGCGCCUCGUGAAUUCAUCUCCGGGGGUAGAGCACUGUUUCGGCUAGGGGGCCAUCCCGGCUUACCAACCCGAUGCAAACUGCGAAUACCGGAGAAUGUUAUCACGGGAGACACACGGCGGGUGCUAACGUCCGUCGUGAAGAGGGAAACAACCCAGACCGCCAGCUAAGGUCCCAAAGUCAUGGUUAAGUGGGAAACGAUGUGGGAAGGCCCAGACAGCCGUGAUGUUGGCUUAGAAGCAGCCAUCAUUUAAAGAAAGCGUAAUAGCUCACUGGUCGAGUCGGCCUGCGCGGAAGAUGUAACGGGGCUAAACCAUGCACCGAAGCUGCGGCAGCGACACUCAGGUGUUGUUGGGUAGGGGAGCGUUCUGUAAGCCUGCGAAGGUGGCCUGUGAGGGUUGCUGGAGGUAUCAGAAGUGCGAAUGCUGACAUAAGUAACGAUAAAGCGGGUGAAAAGCCCGCUCGCCGGAAGACCAAGGGUUCCUGUCCAACGUUAAUCGGGGCAGGGUGAGUCGACCCCUAAGGCGAGGCCGAAAGGCGUAGUCGAUGGGAAACGGGUUAAUAUUCCCGUACUUGGUGUUACUGCGAAGGGGGGACGGAGAAGGCUAUGUUGGCCGGGCGACGGUUGUCCCGGUUUAAGCGUGUAGGUGUGUGUUCCAGGUAAAUCCGGUUCACUUUAACACUGAGGCGUGACGACGAGGCACUACGGUGCUGAAGCAACAAAUGCCCUGCUUCCAGGAAAAGCCUCUAAGCAUCAGGUAACAUCAAAUCGUACCCCAAACCGACACAGGUGGUCAGGUAGAGAAUACCAAGGCGCUUGAGAGAACUCGGGUGAAGGAACUAGGCAAAAUGGUGCCGUAACUUCGGGAGAAGGCACGCUGACACGUAGGUGAAGUGAUUUACUCAUGGAGCUGAAGUCAGUCGAAGAUACCAGCUGGCUGCAACUGUUUAUUAAAAACACAGCACUGUGCAAACACGAAAGUGGACGUAUACGGUGUGACGCCUGCCCGGUGCCGGAAGGUUAAUUGAUGGGGUCAGCGCAAGCGAAGCUCCUGAUCGAAGCCCCGGUAAACGGCGGCCGUAACUAUAACGGUCCUAAGGUAGCGAAAUUCCUUGUCGGGUAAGUCCUGACCUGCACGAAUGGCGUAAUGAUGGCGGGCUGUCUCCACCCGAGACUCAGUGAAAUUGAACUCGCUGUGAAGAUGCAGUGUACCCGCGGCAAGACGGAAAGACCCCGUGAACCUUUACUAUAGCUUGACACUGAACAUUGAGCCUUGAUGUGUAGGAUAGGUGGGAGGCUUUGAAGUGUGGACGCCAGUCUGCAUGGAGCCGACCUUGAAAUACCACCCUUUAAUGUUUGAUGUUCUAACGUGGACCCGUAAUCCGGGUUGCGGACAGUGUCUGGUGGGUAGUUUGACUGGGGCGGUCUCCUCCUAAAGAGUAACGGAGGAGCACGAAGGUUGGCUAAUCUGGUCGGACAUCAGGAGGUUAGUGCAAUGGCAUAAGCCAGCUUGACUGCGAGCGUGACGGCGCGAGCAGGUGCGAAAGCAGGUCAUAGUGAUCCGGUGGUUCUGAAUGGAAGGGCCAUCGCUCAACGGAUAAAAGGUACUCCGGGGAUAACAGGCUGAUACCGCCCAAGAGUUCAUAUCGACGGCGGUGUUUGGCACCUCGAUGUCGGCUCAUCACAUCCUGGGGCUGAAGUAGGUCCCAAGGGUAUGGCUGUUCGCCAUUUAAAGUGGUACGCGAGCUGGGUUUAGAACGUCGUGAGACAGUUCGGUCCCUAUCUGCCGUGGGCGCUGGAGAACUGAGGGGGGCUGCUCCUAGUACGAGAGGACCGGAGUGGACGCAUCACUGGUGUUCGGGUUGUCAUGCCAAUGGCACUGCCCGGUAGCUAAAUGCGGAAGAGAUAAGUGCUGAAAGCAUCUAAGCACGAAACUUGCCCCGAGAUGAGUUCUCCCUGAGACUUAAAGUCUCCUGAAGGAACGUUGAAGACGACGACGUUGAUAGGCCGGGUGUGUAAGCGCAGCGAUGCGUUGAGCUAACCGGUACUAAUGAACCGUGAGGCUUAACCUUACAACGCCGAAG
rnacentral:rRNA from 1 species